UAGGGAAUCUUCCACAAUGGACGCAAGUCUGAUGGAGCAACGCCGCGUGAGUGAAGAAGGGUUUCGGCUCGUAAAGCUCUGUUGUUAAAGAAGAACGUGGGUAAGAGUAACUGUUUACCCAGUGACGGUAUUUAACCAGGAAGCCACGGCUAACUACGUGCCGG
rnacentral:rRNA from 1 species